rnacentral:rRNA from 1 species
UACGGGGGGGGCAAGCGUUGUUCGGAAUUACUGGGCGUAAAGGGCUCGUAGGCGGCCAACUAAGUCGGAUGUGAAAGCCCCGGGCUCAACCUGGGAAUUGCAUUUGAGACUGAAUAGCUAGGGUGCGGAAGAGGGAAGCGGAAUUUCCGGUGUAGCGGUGAAAUGCGUAGAUAUCGGAAGGAACACCAGUGGCGAAAGCGGCUUCCUGGUCCAGCACCGACGUUCAGGCACGAAAGCGUGGGGAGCAAACAGG